CGGCGGACGGGUGAGUAACACGUGGAUAACCUACCUAUAAAACUGGGAUAACUUCGGGAAACCGGAGCUAAUACCGGAUAAUAUAUUGAACCGCACGGUUCAAUAGUGAAAGACGGUUUUGCUGUCACUUAUAGAUGGAUCCGCGCCGCAUUAGCUAGUUGGUAAGGUAACGGCUUACCAAGGCAACGAUGCGUAGCCGACCUGAGAGGGUGAUCGGCCACACUGGAACUGAGACACGGUCCAGACUCCUACGGGAGGCAGCAGCA
rnacentral:rRNA from 1 species